AUUGAACGCUGGCGGCAGGUCUAACACAUGCAAGUCGAGCGGAUGAAGGGAGCUUGCUCCUGGAUUCAGCGGCGGACGGGUGAGUAAUGCCUAGGAAUCUGCCUGGUAGUGGGGGAUAACGUCCGGAAACGGGCGCUAAUACCGCAUACGUCCUGAGGGAGAAAGUGGGGGAUCUUCGGACCUCACGCUAUCAGAUGAGCCUAGGUCGGAUUAGCUAGUUGGUGGGGUAAAGGCCUACCAGGGCGACGAUCCGUGACUGGUCUGAGAGGAUGAUCAGUCACACUGGAACUGAGACACGGUCCAGACUCCUACGGGAGGCAGCAGUGGGGAAUAUUGGACAAUGGGCGAAAGCCUGAUCCAGCCAUGCCGCGUGUGUGAAGAAGGUCUUCGGAUUGUAAAGCACUUUAAGUUGGGAGGAAGGGCAGUAAGUUAAUACCUUGCUGUUUUGACGUUACCAACAGAAUAAGCACCGGCUAACUUCGU
rnacentral:rRNA from 1 species